rnacentral:rRNA from 1 species
AGUGAACGCUGGCGGUAGGCCUAACACAUGCAAGUCGAACGGCAGCACAGUAAGAGCUUGCUCUUACGGGUGGCGAGUGGCGGACGGGUGAGGAAUACAUCGGAAUCUACUUUUUCGUGGGGGAUAACGUAGGGAAACUUACGCUAAUACCGCAUACGACCUACGGGUGAAAGCAGGGGAUCUUCGGACCUUGCGCGAUUGAAUGAGCCGAUGUCGGAUUAGCUAGUUGGCGGGGUAAAGGCCCACCAAGGCGACGAUCCGUAGCUGGUCUGAGAGGAUGAUCAGCCACACUGGAGCUGAGACACGGUCCAGACUCCUACGGGAGGCAGCAGUGGGGAAUAUUGGACAAAGGGCGCAAGCCUGAUCCAGCCAUACCGCGUGGGUGAAGAAGGCCUUCGGGUUGUAAAGCCCUUUUGUUGGGAAAGAAAAGCAGCAGGUUAAUACCACGCUGUUCUGACGGUACCCAAAGAAUAAGCACCGGCUAACUUCGUG